rnacentral:siRNA from 1 species
CCGCUUACUCUGCAAUUAUUUGA